rnacentral:rRNA from 1 species
UACAGAGGGUGCGAGCGUUGUUCGGAAUUACUGGGCGUAAAGCGCGCGUAGGCGGCUUUGCAAGUCGGGUGUGAAAUCCCCAGGCUUAACCUGGGAACUGCAUUCGAGACUGCAUUGCUAGAGUAUGGGAGAGGGAAGUGGAAUUUCCGGUGUAGCGGUGAAAUGCGUAGAUAUCUGGAGGAACACCGGUGGCGAAGGCGGCAUCCUGGACCGGCAUUGACGCUGAGGCGCGAAAGCCAGGGGAGCAAACGGG